UAAACGACUCUCGGCAACGGAUAUCUCGGCUCUCGCAUCGGUGAAGAACGUAGCGAAAUGCGAUACUUGGUGUGAAUUGCAGAAUCCCGUGAACCAUCGAGUCUUUGAACGCAAGUUGCGCCCGCAGCCAUUAGGUUGAGGGCACGUCUGCCUGGGCGUCUCAC
rnacentral:rRNA from 1 species